UACGUAGGCAGCGAGCGUUGUUCGGAAUUACUGGGCGUAAAGAGUGUGUAGGCGGUGCUCUAAGUUCGGUGUGAAAUCUCCUGCUUAACUGGGAGGGUGCGCCGGAAACUGGGGUGCUCGAGCGUGGGAGAGGAAAGCGGAAUUCCUGGUGUAGCGGUGAAAUGCGUAGAUAUCAGGAGGAACACCUGUGGUGUAGACAGCUUUCUGGACCAUUGCUGACGCUGAGACACGAAAGCGUGGGUAGCAAACAGG
rnacentral:rRNA from 1 species